UACCCCACAACAUCCUUCUCUCCAAACUGGAGAGAGAUGGAUUUGAGGGGGAGACUGUUAGGUGGAUAAGGACUUGGUUGGACAGUCACGUUCAGUGAUGUCACUCAGGAGCCCAUAUUGGAACCUGUGCUAUUUCAUAUCUUCAUUAAUGACACAGAUUAAGGGAUGGAGUGCACCCUCAGCAAAUUUGCAGAUGACACCAAGCUGAGUGGUGCAGUUGCCACACCUGAGGGAUGGGAUGCCAUCCACAGGCUCAGUGAGUGGCCCCACGGGAACCCCAUGGGGUUCAACAAGACCAAGACAAGGUGCUGCACCUGAGCUGGGGCAACCCCCAGUACCAACACAGGCUGGGGAACGAACAGAUCAAGAGCAGCCUUGGGGAGAAGGACCUGGGGGUGCUGCUGGAUGAGAGGCUGGACAUGACCCAGCCAUGUGCACUCACAGCCCAGAGAGACAAACAUGUCCUGGGCUGCCUCCAAAGCAGGAUGGCCAGAAGGGUGAGGGAGAGGAUUCUGCCCCUCUGCUCUGCUCUGGUGAAACCCCAGCUGCAGGGCUGCAUCCAGCUCUGGGGUCUCCAACAUGGACCUGCUGGAGUGAGUCCAGAGGAGGCCGCAAAGCUGCUCAGAGGGCUGGAGCACCUCUCCUAUAAAGACAGGCUGAAAGAUGGGGUUACUCAGCCUGAGAAGUCCUUAAAGAAGAAUUCCAGUGCUUGAAGGGGUCGACAAGAGAGAUGUGGGACAAAGAAGUUAGCACGGUCUGUUGUAAUAGGACAAGGGCUAAUGGUUUUAAACUGAAUAGGGGUCAUUUUAGAUUGAAUAUAAGGAAGAAGUUUUCUACAAUGAGGGUGAUAAAACCCUGGCAUAUGUUGCCCAGAGAGAUACUGGAUAUCCCAUCCCUGGAAACAUUCAGGGUCAGGUUGGACAGGCUGGUCAACUGAUGAAGUUGGAGAUAUCCCUGCCCAUUGCAGGAUAAUAGGACUAUUUGUAUUCUGUGGAUAAUUCUUUUUAAGACUGCACCAAAUCUGUCUUCCUAAGCCAAAGAGAACCACUUGCUAGAUUUUUAAAGGCAUCUAAGAAUCUAGAAGUUAUUUUAAAAUACAGUCAGGGAACCCUAAAUAUCCCAAAGUAUUCUGAGGAAGAUACAUUCAUAUUUCAGAAUCAAUAAUUACAUUGAUUUUCAUAAAUUUAAUAAAUCACAUUCCUCCAGAAAAAUGUGAUUGUGAAAGUAAGUAAAGAAGAAGAAAAUGUCACAAGAGUUAAGUAUCUGAAACUUUCAUUUAUCUGAAACCACAUACUUUCAAGAUCGAAUGCAUUUGUCAGGCAAAAACCUCCUCUCUGUAGUAAAUGCCACUGAUAUCUACUUUCAGAUAUAACAAUUAUAUAAUCUCAGUUUAAUCUAGAUUUUAAUGUUCAGCAGGAAUAUCCUGCCUCUGCUACAACUUUCACAACUUCUGAGUGGAAGGCACAUUGAUACUAAAAGGCUUUAGCCCUCUCUUACUUGACAUAUUAAUUCUGGAAUUUAUUCCUAAACUAUAAACAAUUAGCAGGAUGAACCACCUCUCCUACAAAGAAAGGCUAAGAAAAUUUGGAUUGUUCAAGCUGAAAAGGCUCCAGGGUGACAUAAUUGUAGCCUUCCAGUACCUGGAGAGACCCCACAAGAAUGGUGGAGUUUUUCCAAGGGCAUGUGGUGACAGUGACAGGACAAGGGGAAAUAGUUUUAAACUGAAAAGGAUGUUUACAUAGGAUAUUAUGAAGAAAUUCUUUAGUCUGAGGGUGGUGAGACACUGGAAGAUGUUGCCCAGAGAAGCUGUGGAUGCCCUAUCCCUGGCAGUGUUGAAAGCCAGGCUGGACGGGGCUUUGAGCAACCUGGCCUAGUGGGAGGUCUCCCUGUCCACGGCAGGGGAUUGGAAUGAGGUGAUCUUUAAGGUCCCUUCCAAUACAAACCAUUCUAUGAUUCUACUUUUUUCUGCAAAUCAGAUUUGGCAGUAAGUGAGUGAGGGAAUUCUAGCACAAUUGUACUCCCAUCCCAGAUCGAUGUCCCAGGUUUGGACUGAAUCCUUUCCUGUGUGUUGGCCUGUUUCCUCAAUAGUCUUCUCUCUUCCGUGCUCUGGAUGUUGGCAGGAGGUUACAUGCCCUUAAAAGAGACAUAUGGCACAGAAGUGCCUUGAUAAAUGACAGCUACCCAGAACAGAUCUCUUUAACAUUUACAUUAAGUAAUCGAGACAGUGAAGGGAUUGAGAAGUGAGCACGUGCUUUUAUCGAGCUUUUCCACUUAGGCUCAUGCCAAAUCCAUGAGGCAAUUGCCACCAGCCUGCACAAACCGAUGACUAGGAGGCAAUUCCUGCACACCUCACAGAGACACCUGGAUCUCAGGCAUGCAUGGAGGAGAAGUGCUACACACACCCCGGCUGGGGGAAAGGCUUAACUGAGGCUUGUGUCUCAGACACCACAGGGACCGAGGCUUCAUCAGAUGGGCCCAGGUGCAUCUGCCCCAUGCAGAGCUGCUGCUGCCCCAUUUCUCCUCACCCUCUCUCAGCCUUGCUUCCCAGUGUCCUGAGCCUGGAUGUCCCACAUGGCCAAAGCCUCUCACCUCCUGCAAGUUCACCCCAGGCUUCCUGCUCCUUCCCUGCUGCCCCCCAGGGCACACCUGAGUGCCCACAGAGUGAGGUGCUGGGCUGGGGGACCACAGAAUCCUUAGGGUUGGAAGGGAUAUCUGGAGAUCACCAAGGCAGGGGCAGCUACAGCAGGUUACACAGGAAUGCAUCCAGGCUGGUUUCAAAUAUCUCCAGGGAAAGACACUCCACAACUCUCCUGGGCUGCCUAUUCCAGUUCUCUGCCACUCUCAAUGUAAAGAAGUUCUUCCUCAUGUUGAGGUGGAGCUUCCUGAGCUUUAGUUUAGGGCUUUCGUUUAUUGCUCCGCAUCUUCUCACCGGAGUCCACUGAAGAGAGUCUGGCACCAUCCUCUUAGCACCCACGUGUGCCGUAUUUGUUUAUAUUGAUUAGAUCUGUCUGUCUUCUCCUCUCUAGAUUAAAUAGGCCCAGCUCCCAGAGUCUCUCCUCAUAAGAGAGAUGCUCUUGUCCUGAGGAGCCCAGAACAGGAUAUAUCCUCCAGAUGCGGCCGAAUAGAGGGGAGGAUCCUCCAGCUGCAGUGACAGGAAGACACCCGAGCUGCGGAGGGACGCAGGCCGGUCUCUCC
ensembl:lncRNA